UAGGGAAUCUUCGGCAAUGGACGGAAGUCUGACCGAGCAACGCCGCGUGAGUGAAGAAGGUUUUCGGAUCGUAAAGCUCUGUUGUAAGAGAAGAACGAGUGUGAGAGUGGAAAGUUCACACUGUGACGGUAUCUUACCAGAAAGGGACGGCUAACUACGUGCCAGCAGCCGCGGUAAUACGUAGGUCCCGAGCGUUGUCCGGAUUUAUUGGGCGUAAAGCGAGCGCAGGCGGUUAGAUAAGUCUGAAGUUAAAGGCUGUGGCUUAACCAUAGUACGCUUUGGAAACUGUUUAACUUGAGUGCAAGAGGGGAGAGUGGAAUUCCAUGUGUAGCGGUGAAAUGCGUAGAUAUAUGGAGGAACACCGGUGGCGAAAGCGGCUCUCUGGCUUGUAACUGACGCUGAGGCUCGAAAGCGUGGGGAGCAAACAGGAUUAGAUACCCUGGUAGUCCNUNNUCGUAAACGAUGAGUGCUAGGUGUUAGACCCUUUCCGGGGUUUAGUGCCGCAGCUAACGCAUUAAGCACUCCGCCUGGGGAGUACGAACGCAAGGUUG
rnacentral:rRNA from 1 species